rnacentral:rRNA from 1 species
GAUGAACGCUAGCGGCAGGCCUAAUACAUGCAAGUCGAACGAUAGAAGAGGGCUUGCUCUCUUCGAAAGUGGCGCACGGGUGCGUAACGCGUAUGCAACCUACCUUAAUCAGGGGGAUAGCCCGAAGAAAUUCGGAUUAACACCGCAUAAAAUCACAGUACAGCAUUGUACAAUGAUCAAAUAUUUAUAGGAUUAAGAUGGGCAUGCGUGACAUUAGCUAGUUGGCGGGGUAACGGCCCACCAAGGCGACGAUGUCUAGGGGAUCUGAGAGGAUGACCCCCCACACUGGUACUGAGACACGGACCAGACUCCUACGGGAGGCAGCAGUAAGGAAUAUUGGUCAAUGGAGGCAACUCUGAACCAGCCAUGCCGCGUGCAGGAAGACGGCCCUCUGGGUUGUAAACUGCUUUUAUUCGGGAAUAAACCUCAUUACGUGUAAUGAGCUGAAUGUACCGAAGGAAUAAGGAUCGGCUAACUCCGUGCCAGCCGCCGCAGUAA